rnacentral:rRNA from 1 species
GACAAACGCUGGCGGCGUGCUUAACACAUGCAAGUCGAACGGAUUGCUUGGUGCUUGCACUGAGUGGUUAGUGGCGAACGGGUGAGUAACACGUGAGUAACCUGCCCCCCUCUUUGGGAUAAGCACCUGAAAGGGUGUCUAAUACUGAUUAUUCUGCUGGAAUCGCAUGGUUUUGGUUGGAAAGGUUUUUCUGGUGGGGGAUGGGCUCGCGGCUUAUCAGCUUGUUGGUGGGGUAAUGGCUUACCAAGGCUUUGACGGGUAACCGGCCUGAGAGGGUGACCGGUCACAUUGGGACUGAGAUACGGCCCAGACUCCUACGGGAGGCAGCAGUGGGGAAUAUUGCACAAUGGACGAAAGUCUGAUGCAGCGACGCCGCGUGAGGGAUGAAGGCCUUCGGGUUGUAACCCUUUUUCGCUUUUGACCAAGGCAGCAUUUUGGUGUUGUUGAGGGUAUGAGGUAAAGAAGCUCUGGCUAACUACGUGCCAGCCGCCGCCGUAAGAC